rnacentral:rRNA from 1 species
UACGUAGGGUGCGAGCGUUGUCCGGAAUUAUUGGGCGUAAAGAGCUUGUAGGCGGUCUGUCGCGUCUGCUGUGAAAAUCCGGGGCUCAACCCCGGACUUGCAGUGGGUACGGGCAGACUAGAGUGUGGUAGGGGAGACUGGAAUUCCUGGUGUAGCGGUGAAAUGCGCAGAUAUCAGGAGGAACACCGGUGGCGAAGGCGGUUCUCUGGGCAUGAUCUGACGCUGAGGAGCGAAAGUGUGGGGAGCGAACAGG